UGGAGGGGGAUAACUACUGGAAACGGUAGCUAAUACCGCAUAACGUCGCAAGACCAAAGAGGGGGACCUUCGGGCCUCUUCCCAUCGGAUGUGCCCAGAUGGGAUUAGCUAGUAGGUGGGGUAACGGCUCACCUAGGCGACGAUCCCUAGCUGGUCUGAGAGGAUGACCAGCCACACUGGAACUGAGACACGGUCCAGACUCCUACGGGAGGCAGCAGUGGGGAAUAUUGCACAAUGGGCGCAAGCCUGAUGCAGCCAUGCCGCGUGUAUGAAGAAGGCCUUCGGGUUGUAAAGUACUUUCAGCGGGGAGGAAGGGAGUAAAGUUAAUACCUUUGCUCAUUGACGUUACCCGCAGAAGAAGCACCGGCUAACUCCGUGCCAGCAGCCGCGGUAAUACGGAGGGUGCAAGCGUUAAUCGGAAUUACUGGGCGUAAAGCGCACGCAGGCGGUUUGUUAAGUCAGAUGUGAAAUCCCCGGGCUCAACCUGGGAACUGCAUCUGAUACUGGCAAGCUUGAGUCUCGUAGAGGGGGGUAGAAUUCCAGGUGUAGCGGUGAAAUGCGUAGAG
rnacentral:rRNA from 1 species